CAAGGGAAGCCAGUGGUCGGGGUGUAGGAACGUCGUGCUGGGCUCCUGGCAGCUUCUGUCCGCUCUGCGGCGGGAGGUGCCUUUGCCACAGGACAUCAAUGCAAACCUGAAUAAGAAUAACAAUUUCUUCCUCCUAAAGCCAUGGCAUAUCAGUUAUACAGAAAUACCACUUUGGGAAAUAGUCUUCAGGAGAGCCUAGAUGAGCUCAUACAGUCUCAACAGAUCACCCCCCAACUUGCCCUUCAAGUUCUACUUCAGUAUGAUAAGGCUAUAAAUUCAGCAUUGGCUCAGAGGGUCAGGAACAGAGUCAAUUUCAGGGCCUCUCUAAAUACGUACAGAUUCUGCGAUAAUGUGUGGCUUUUGUAUUGAAUGAUGUUGAAUUCAGAGAGGUGACAGAACUUAUUAAAGUGGAUAAAGUGAAAAUUGUAGCCUGUGAUGGUAAAAAUACUGGCUCCAAUACUACAGAAUGAAUAGAAAACAAUGGCUUUUUUAUGCUAUCUUGUAUUAUUAUUCAUCACUUUUUGAAGAGAAGCAUAGAAGAGACUUUUUUUUAAUUUAUUCUAGCAUUGCAGAAAUGACUACACUGUGUUAUAUGAAAAUUCCAGUAGAAAGAUGCUUAUAACUCUGUAGCC